rnacentral:rRNA from 1 species
AUUGAACGCUGGCGGCGGGCCUAACACAUGCAAGUCGAGCGGUUGAGGUAGCUUGCUACCGAUGCAGCGGCGGACGGGUGAGUAAUACAUGGGAAUCUGCCUGGUAGUGGGGGACAACGUUUCGAAAGGAACGCUAAUACCGCGUACGCCCUACGGGGGAAAGGGGGGGAUCGCAAGACCUCUCGCUAUCAGAUGAGCCC